rnacentral:rRNA from 1 species
UACGAAGGGGGCUAGCGUUGCUCGGAAUUACUGGGCGUAAAGCGCACGUAGGCGGUCUUUUAAGUCGGGGGUGAAAUCCUGGAGCUCAACUCCAGAACUGCCUUCGAUACUGGAAGACUUGAGUCCGGGAGAGGUGAGUGGAACUGCGAGUGUAGAGGUGAAAUUCGUAGAUAUUCGGAAGAACACCAGUGGCGAAGGCGGCUCACUGGCCCGUUACCGACGCUCAGGCGCGACAGCGUGGGGAUCAAACAGG